rnacentral:rRNA from 1 species
UACGAAGGGGGCUAGCGUUGUUCGGAAUCACUGGGCGUAAAGCGCACGUAGGCGGAUCUUUAAGUCAGGGGUGAAAUCCCGAGGCUCAACCUCGGAACUGCCUUUGAUACUGGGGAUCUCGAGUCCGGGAGAGGUGAGUGGAACUGCGAGUGUAGAGGUGAAAUUCGUAGAUAUUCGCAAGAACACCAGUGGCGAAGGCGGCUCACUGGCCCGAUACUGACGCUGAUGCACGAAAGCGUGGGGAGCAAACAGG